AGAUUCCAAUUUCACCCAUUAAUUACGACGAGAUAAAUACAACCAUUUAUGAUUUAUCUACGUAGAUACCAUACGCCCUCUUGAAGCAAAGCAAUGGCGUGAGGCAGCAGCCCGGGUUUGCUUCCUGAAGCAAUCCUCUCUGCCGUAAACCAGGCGUCUCAAAUACACCUGAUCAAAGAAAAACAACAAGAACAACAAAUCAGGAGAGCCCAAACUCCAAUCCGGAAGACGCUAGCGUGCGCGGAAACAUCGCGUGAGACGCCAAGCUUUUGCCUAAUUGCCUCCCAGGGGAGGCAUCCAACGCUGUCCGUCCAUUCUCCCCUCCGCGUUUCUGAUGACGAACUGACUAGCGACAAUGAUCGCCCUCUGCUACAGGCUACAGCAGCUUAAGCACGGUGAUCAUCGAGGACACCCUAGUAAUCAAUCAGUCAGCCAUACACGGCUAAUCAAUCAGCCAAAGACAUAGGACUUGUUUUGUUUGCUACCAUGCCAAAAUAUUAAUAAUGCCAAACCAUAGGUAAAUUUGAUAGUGCCAAAUAUUUUAGCAAUUUAUGUGUCUUAUUGGUAUAUUUUGAUAGCAAACUAAACACUAGCCAAACUACUAUUCAAAAUACCAACGAUUUAGUGAGAAUUUAGACUAUUCACCAUCAAAUUCACGUGCCUCAACUUUUUUACCACCCAAUCGGCAUACCCGCUAUAAUAUGUCAUUAGGACUGUUAAUUAGUCCAUUUGGUACCACUUUCAUGUUUUUUUUUACUGUGUUUCUCAUUUCUUAAUUUCAUUUGUAUAUUUUUUUCAAGAUUUGUGGACGUUUUUGCCCCUGGGCCCACCUGUCAUAACCAAAGAGAGAUAUUUCUCUCUGGAUCGAUCGAUCCCUCCAGUCUCAUCCGUUCGCCGCCAACCCCGCCGCCGCCACUCACCUCAGCUUGCCGCCUCACCACCGAGCGCCGCCCCCAAACGCCGCGCCAUCACCCCGCCGCCGCAUCAUCACCCAGGCCUGGCGCCGCUGCCCAGGCCAAGCGCCUCCCCCGUGCCUGGAGCCGCCGCCCAGGCCGAGCAGCUCCCCCGUGCACAAACACAAUUAGUAAAUGACAUUGGGCACAAACACUAUAUAUUGAUUAAACAAGGUUAGUUUCUCAGUUCAGAAGAUUUAGUGAAGCGACCAAGGUGGCAGGUAAAGCUCUCACAUGGUGGAAGCAGUGGUAGAGCCAGAUGAGCUGCACGUCUGGAGGCGGCACCAGCAUCGGCGCCUCCCCUUCCGCGGGGUGGUGGCACGGCGCUCGGGGGCGGCGACCUGGGGGC
rnacentral:lncRNA from 1 species